GAUGGCGAGAAGGUCACACCCGUUCCCAUACCGAACACGGAAGUUAAGCUUCUCAGCGCCGAUGGUAGUUGGGGCACGCGCCCCUGUGAGAGUAGGACGCUGCCGGGC
rnacentral:rRNA from 1 species